CGUUUCCUAGCGCCCGAGCCAUGGUGGCCAAACAGCGCAUCCGGAUGGCUAACGAGAAGCACAGCAAAAAUAUCACCCAGAGGGGGAAUGUAGCCAAAACCCUGAGGCCGCAAGAAGAGAAAUAUCCUGUGGGCCCAUGGCUGUUGGCACUGUUUGUUUUUGUUGUCUGCGGCUCAGGUCGACCACAUAAGCACUGGCCUUUCCUGGAGACUGCCCGAACUAUCUUGAAAUUGUGACACCCAGAGGGAGUCACAGCCCCAAGACUGGCAAGUUUGAGGAACUGAGCAGCCCUGGGAGAAACCUUUCUGUUUCACCACAAAGGAAAGCUUGAGGACAUGCGUCUGCUCUGGAACUCCUGCCUCAGGAUCUGAGAUGGACGGUCUGAAAAAGAUGUCUCAUCAGCCACUGGCUCCCUCAAGCUAUCUUCCAGAUCAUUCAGAGCAUAAGGAUGGGCAUGUGAGCGGGCUGGGCUGUGACACGGCCCCCUGCCGCUGGAGGGUGGAGGCCACUUCAGCUCUUAGCCGGGUAUCUGUGGGAAGCUGACAAGCCACCCAGAAGAGAAAAAAAGGCUCCCUCAACUGUUCCCUGAUCACUUCAUCGUGGAUGUCAGACCAAAUUUCUUUCUCACAGGACAUCUCGGUACAUCUGUGUUCUCAAGCGGAAAGGACAUUUUGCUUUGCAGUUGGCAGGAUUGGUAGCUCUCCGGGUGUCUGCAGCAGAGCUGUCUGUCUGCUUUUGCCCUGGGUUUCACUGAUGUCUGCAUGUGGGCUUCUGAAUGAUCACCGCUUUACUUUCUAUGGAUACAAGCUCUGCUCCAUUGGGAAUUGCUUUUACAAAUAAAUGUCU